rnacentral:rRNA from 1 species
UACGGAGGGUGCAAGCGUUAAUCGGAAUUACUGGGCGUAAAGCGUACGCAGGCGGUCUGUCAAGUCUGAUGUGAAAUCCCCGGGCUCAACCCGGGGACUGCAUUCGAAACUGGCAGACUAGAGGCUUGUAGAGGAAGGCGGAAUUCCCAGUGUAGCGGUGAAAUGCGUAGAGAUUGGGAAGAACACCAGUGGCGAAGGCGGCCCCCUGGGCUAUGACUGACGCUGAGGUGCGAAAGCGUGGGGAGCAAACGGG